UGGGGAAUAUUGGUCAAUGGGCGCAAGCCUGUAUCAGCCAUGCCGCGUGCAGGAAGACGGCCCUCUGGGUUGUAAACUGCUUUUAUUCGGAAAUAAACCACAUUACGUGUAGUGUGCUGAAUGUACCGAGGGAAUAAGGAUCGGCUAACUCCGUGCCAGCAGCCGCGGUAAUACGGAGGAUCCAAGCGUUAUCCGGAUUUAGUGGGUCUAAAGGGUGCGUAGGCGGCAUAUUAAGUCAGGGGUGAAAGACGGUGGCUCAACCAUCGAACGGCCCUGGAUACUGAUGGGCUUAAAUAGACGAGAGGUAGGGGGAAUUUGAAAAGUAGCGGUGAAAUGCAUAGAUAUGUCCAGGAACACCAAUUGCGAAGGCAGCUUACUAUGGUUUGAUUGACGCUGAGGCACGAAAGCGUGGGGAUCAAACA
rnacentral:rRNA from 1 species